GGAGCUAAUGACAUGUGUGCAGAAACUCUUCUGAAUGGGACUUCCCUGAUCCUGUUUUUACCUGAUCUUCAUGCUCAAUAGAAAAAGCCUCAGCUUUGGAAUCAGCUUCCCAGUGAACACCGAGAGUUGAGUUUAGCAACUGUUUGGACUGGCCAUGUAACAGGGCCGUCCAGGUAGCAUGGCAUGGUACUGGAACACUAUGUCUUCUCUCUGACCUCUCGGAAUAUCUCUGUGAUUCAAUGUGUUGGCCCAUUGGAGGCCCUGGACUGGUUAAAACCUGGAGGUUUGAGAAACCCCUGAUCUUCUCCAUACUCUUCACAAGGGCAAUGGCUGGCCAAGAUUACAAAUUAGUGACUGUUGAGGCUGGAAUCUGUACCGAGGUCAUGGGAACCCCCUGCACUGCCCCUUCUAAUCACCCUCCUGCUUGGACCCUGGGAGUAUGACAAAGAGUCAGAUAAGACAACUGAGGCUGAAGAUCACACAACCAGUAAAUGGAACAGCCAGAAAUCAAAUGUUAUAUAUUGGCCCUGAAGUGGGGAUAAAGCAGCUAAAAGAAAGUGUACUUUACAUUAAAUUUUAAGAUUUAUGAGACAGGCAGAAAAAUCACAAAAAGGAAAAAAAGUCAGUUUGAAGUGUGAAAUCAAGUGAAUGAAGUAAGACAGAAGCAAUAAUCUCUACAACAAAAGAUGAGAACUUGCCUCCUCUAAAUCCCAUACACACAUGGCUAUUUGUUCCAAGCUUAUGUGGAUCAUCGCUAAUUUACAAACAGUGGGUGAUGUGCUAUAAAGAAAAUGACUCAUUGGCCCAUCUGUAAUUUAAAUAUGUGACAAAAUGUUUAAAUGUUUCAAACAAUGGUUAAUUAUUAGAGACUUAACAGUUUGAAAACAAGUGUGGAGCUUUUUUUUUUUUUUUUCUGUUUUUUUGGCUUCAUUUUGAACCAGCCCAAAUGGACAUCAGGUGUUUGACUCUUCCUGAGAUGCAGUACAUAAUCUUUAAUUGGACACCUUGUUGGAAAAUAAGGAGGAAAGUAUCCAUUUUUUUUUUUUAGAAUAGCCUGGCCAACAUUUAUGUACUGAAUGCUAAUAUGUAUAAUUGAAAAAAUAAAAAAUUCUAGGUCUUACUUAAGAUUUUCAUCUACCAUGAGAAGUCUUUCAUUCAUUUUCUUAGCACAAAGACAGCCCCACUCUCUAUACAUGAAUAUGUAAAAAUAAAACUUCAAAUUACUUUCAUGUUGAUGUUUAUGUAACCUGUAUCUUUAGUGACACAAAAAGAAGAGAUUUUAUUGAACAAUAGUUAUAAGACCCUUUCCUCUUAAUCUCCAGUUAAGCACAUAUUAUUUAACUGAUUCUUUCAAAAGACAAACAAAAUGAAAGAAUGAAUGUUAGUUGCUUUUUAAUUAACGCAAAACAAAGGUUGAGCAGUGAAAAGUGCAUCCAGUUAACUGACUGUUGAGUUUACACAACUUCAACCAAGAAGUCCCUUAACAGAAAGGAAGGGUUUUGGAGGGAGGCAGAGAUUGAUCUCUAACAUACAGAAUCUAAAUGAAAUUAGUUAUUUGGUCAAGGUGAAAGAGAAUAAAACAAUAACUAAAACAAAGACCUAAGAUAAAAUAACAAGAAAAUAAAAUUUUAAGUAAAAGUUGGUGCUAUUUUUCUCCUUUAAAAGGAAAAUCAUUUUCAAAUGCACAUGCUGAUCUCAAAUAAAUGUUUUGCUAGUCUAUUUAGUUCAAUUCUGCAAACUGCUUCAGAUUGAAAUGUAUGUUGAAACCUAAAACUGAUUUGUUCCAUGUAAAUCACAUUUAAAACUUCUUCAGCUAAAGGUAUUACCAGUAAAGCUAUUAACUUGAGUAUGAGCUCUUUCUUUAGAUCUCCAAACCUGCUAAAUCAUAGAUAAUAUUAUAUUUUUCUUUCUCUUUAUGUAAAAUUGAAAAAAAAAGACUUUUUUUCAUUUUAAGGGAAACAAGCCCAAUUCAGAGGUUUUCAUUUUAAAGGAAACAAGCCCAAUUCAGAGGUCUAACAAGCCCUAUUCAUUUGAACCUUUUGAAAGAAACUUUUCCUUCCUUCCUCUGCUUGCCCUUGAACCAUGUCCUAGGAGCAGUUGAUUGAGUAGGCAGAUUUUCUUCAAUAGUUUCUCAAUCAGACAUUUUCUAUAGAUUCUAAAUAUAUUUGGCAAUAUUUAAUGGCAAAUGAACCUAGUAAUAUGCUGACGUUUUUUAACACUUGUCCCUGGAAAUAAAAAAAUCAAAUGUUUUCUCUCCUUUUUAUUAUCUUUAUCUAUCUAGCUAGCUAUAAUAACAUUAGACCCUAAAGUUAAUCCAUAGGGCAAGCUUGGUUUAGUCCGUUAAAUAAAUAUUGUUACUUAAUGAUUGACAUGACACUUGGACUAUCAGAAUCUGUACCAUUAUCCGUUUCUAUUUUUUUUCCUUCUAUGUCUGGGGAAACUAAAAACAUUUUCAGUUAAAAAG
rnacentral:lncRNA from 1 species